AUUGAACGCUGGCGGCAGGCCUAACACAUGCAAGUCGAACGAGUGGCGGACGGGUGAGUAAUGUCUGGGAAACUGCCUGAUGGAGGGGGAUAACUACUGGAACCGGUAGCUAAUACCGCAUACCAUCAGAUGUGCCCAGAUGGGAUUCGCUAGUUGGUGGGGUAACGGCUCACCAAGUCGACGAUCCCUAGCUGGUCUGAGAGGAUGACCAGCCAACCUGGAACGUGGACACGGCCCAGACUCCUACGGGAGGAAGCAGUGGGUAAUAGUGCACAAUGGGCGCAAGCCUGAUGCAGCCAUGCCGCGUGUAUGAAGAAGGCCUUCGGGUUGUAAAGUACUUUCAGCGGGGAGGCGUUACCCGCAGAAGAAGCACCGGCUAACUCCGUGCCAGCCGCCGCGGUAAUAC
rnacentral:rRNA from 1 species